rnacentral:rRNA from 1 species
UACGGGGGGGGCAAGCGUUGUUCGGAAUUACUGGGCGUAAAGGGCUCGUAGGCGGCCAACUAAGUCAGACGUGAAAUCCCCAGGCUUAACCUGGGAACUGCGUCUGAUACUGGAUGGCUUGAAUUCGGGAGAGGGAUGCAGAAUUCCAGGUGUAGCGGUGAAAUGCGUAGAUAUCAGGAAGAACACCCGUGGCGAAGGCGGCUCUCUGGGACGGUACUGACGCUGAGACGCGAAAGCGUGGGGAGCGAACAGG